rnacentral:rRNA from 1 species
GUAAGGAAUAUUGGUCAAUGGACGAAAGUCUGAACCAGCCAUGCCGCGUGGAGGAUGAAGGUCCUCUGGAUUGUAAACUUCUUUUAUCUGGGACGAAAAAAGGUCUUUCUAGAUCGUCUGACGGUACCAGAUGAAUAAGCACCGGCUAACUCCGUGCCAGCAGCCGCGGUAAUACGGAGGGUGCAAGCGUUAUCCGGAUUCACUGGGUUUAAAGGGUGCGUAGGUGGGUUGGUAAGUCAGUGGUGAAAUCUUCGAGCUUAACUCGGAAACUGCCAUUGAUACUAUCAGUCUUGAAUAUUGUGGAGGUUAGCGGAAUAUGUCAUGUAGCGGUGAAAUGCUUAGAUAUGACAUAGAACACCAAUUGCGAAGGCAGCUGGCUACACAUAUAUUGACACUGAGGCACGAAAGCGUGGGGAUCAAACAGGAUUAGAUACCCGAGUAGUCC